UACGUAGGGGGCUAGCGUUGUCCGGAUUUACUGGGCGUAAAGCGCGUUCAGGCGGUUUGGCAAGUCGGGCAUGAAAUCUCUCGGCUCAACCGGGAGAGGUUGUCCGAUACUGCUGGACUUGAGGGCAGUAGAGGGUGGUGGAAUUCCGGGUGUAGUGGUGAAAUGCGUAGAUAUCCGGAGGAACACCAGUGGCGAAAGCGGCCACCUGGACUGCACCUGACGCUGACACGCGAAAGCCAGGGGAGCAAACGGG
rnacentral:rRNA from 1 species